AAUAAAAUAAUAAAUUGUCUAUCUGUAACAUUAUUAAUAACAACGCUACAUAGCAUGCAUAAAUAAAUAAAUAAAAUGUAGCUAGCUUUAUAAUUAAUUAAUGAGCAGCAACUCGCAUUCUCCGCGGACGAUCGAUGCAUUUGCCUUUUCGGUUUCGGUUAUUUCGGUUUUCGGUAUGGCGCAAUGACUAGAAUAAUA
rnacentral:rRNA from 16 species